rnacentral:rRNA from 1 species
UACGGGGGGAGCAAGCGUUGUUCGGAUUUACUGGGCGUAAAGGGCGCGUAGGCGGCCACCGCAAGUCGAUUGUGAAAUCUCCGGGCUUAACCCGGAAAGGUCAACCGAUACUGCGGGGCUAGAGUGCAGAAGGGGCAACUGGAAUUCUCGGUGUAGCGGUGAAAUGCGCAGAUAUCAGGAGGAACACCGAUGGCGAAGGCAGGUCUCUGGGCCGAUACUGACGCUGAGGAGCGAAAGCGUGGGGAGCGAACAGG